UGUUGACGUACAAAUUUUUAGGAAGAUCUUUGGCAAAUAGUAGUAAUGUAUCAAGGACUACUAGCUGUUUUUAAAAAGUGAAAUAACAGGGAGAUAGUGAAAUAAAUUCCUCUGAUCUAAUUUCAGGUUAGUGCCCAUGCCAUUGUACAGGGGAGAAACCAAGGACUAGAGGAAGUGCCAUAGAUGGUUGAGCAGAGCCAGAGCCUGAACCUAGCUCAUGGCAGUGACCCGAAAGAGCUUGCAGAGCUUACAACGCAUGACAUUGGAUGUGAGAAUUUGAAUUCCUGAAGGCUAACAACACUUUAGUAAACACAUAUCUUCAAUCAAGAGCCUCCCAAAUGCCACCCAUGUGACAUGGAGGAAACAGUCUCAAAGAACUGCGAAGAGCUGCAUUGUAUAUAGACAGAAGGUAAGAACAGUUCAUAUCACUGCUG
rnacentral:lncRNA from 1 species